GGCUUUUGAACUUUUACAUGUGAGAACGAGUUGGGCGUGUAAAGGCAUGAUGUGGUUGCACGUCUUAAUUUUACACUUUAAUCCUUUAAGUGGCAAUAUGCUCUGAUGCGCCCUACUUUGUUAUUUUACUCUGUCUAACGCCAGACGAUUUUACUUGUCAAUGUUGAGAGAGUGCCUCGAUGGGUGAAUGAGCUGUAUUUUCUAUUUGGUUUUAUUUCACUCUGUGUCCUCUUGAGCCUUUUUCACUACAGCAAUUCCAAGCGGAACAGGCAACCAAAGGUGAUACAUUCUUAAAGUGGUUCCAUGUGUUUGAAUGGCGCUUGUUUUGCUCAAUGAUGAUAGAAUAGCUCCUAUGUAAAGAGAAAUAUCAAAAGACUAUCUUUGCAUGAAACUGGAUAACUCAUUUACAGUCAAAACGGAUGUUCUCUUGCGAGCAACAUUGCAAUAAUGUCCCACAAUAUUGCAAUUUUGAUCGGCAGAUUGCUCUGGGCAAUUUGAAAGUGACGCGAACAAAUUGCAAGUUGAAAUUUGUAAACAGUGCUGAUUAAAGAUGAGUCGUUUUUCAAGCCAUUUAAAACACUAGUAGUGUGCUUUAUCAGAUAUAAGACACUCGGCUGUGCCGUCUCGUGUUUUGUAUCUGAUAAAGCAACUAAGCAAGGAC